CCCUUAGAUGUUCGGGGCCGCACGCGCGCUACACUGAAGGAAUCAGCGCGUCUUUCUCCUUGUCCGAAAGGACUGGGCAACCCGCUGAACCUCCUUCGUGCUAGGGAUUGGGGCUUGUAAUUCUUCCCCAUGAACGAGGAAUUCCCAGUAAGCGCGAGUCAUAAGCUCGCGUUGAUUACGUCCCUGCCCUUUGUACACACCGCCCGUCGCUACUACCGAUUGGAUGGUUUAGUGAGAUCCUCGGAUUGGUCCCGGCGCGGCCUCCGGUCGUGCCGGAGUGCCGAAAAGAAUGUCGAACUUGAUCAUCUAGAGGAAGUAAAAGUCGUAACA
rnacentral:rRNA from 1 species